rnacentral:rRNA from 1 species
CCCUUAGAUGUCCUGGGCCGCACGCGCGCUACACUGACAUGUUCAACAAGCCUCCUAGUUCGACAGGAUUUGGGAAAUCUUUGAACGCAUGUCGUGAUAGGGAUAGAUCAUUGCAAUUACUGAUCUUGAACGAGGAAUUCCUAGUAAACGCGAGUCAUCAGCUCGCAUUGAUUACGUCCCUGCCCUUUGUACACACCGCCCGUCGCACCUACCGAUUGAAUGUUUCGGUGAAGAUUCCGGAUAGGACUUUUUUGAUUUAUUUCAAUUUUGUCUUAAAAGCUAUCUAAACCUCAACAUUUAGAGGAAGGUGAAGUCGUAACA